GGUGAAUGAAAUGAGUUGAGCAGCAACCUGCAAGCAACAAUGGGUCCAGAUAAUGUGCAGGCUAUCACAAUGGGCAAGAGAAGAUCUGCACCUAAUGAAGCUUUACAUGCCUUAGUUACACAUCAGGUCCUACAGGAGAAGAUGCAGACAUCUAAUCAGGAGAACAUAUCCAGGGAAGAUAGUAAUGAAAUAAAUAUUGAAGAUGGUGAAGAAGAAGAAAGUGUGCAGUUGGAGAACAAUAUUUAUAAAGAAGCUGACUUAUCUCCUCAGAUGAUGACCAGAGGAAACAAAAGAAAAGGCAAAAAGGUUAAUGAGACAAAGUCGACAAGGAUACAGGCCAAAAGGAGUGAAAAGAGUGUUUCUCAAUGACUCAAAAAGCUUUAUUUUGGAAUAUAAGGUCGGUGAGAACUCAAAAUGCAUUUCAUAGAGUUCAAAUGUUACAUAGACACCACAAAUUCUUCCUAAUUGCCUUGAUGGAACCUUUUCAAGACACUAGGCAUAUUCGGAAAUACAAAAGAAGGUUGGGCAUGCAAUAUGUCAAUUACAACUCCAAUGGUCAAAUGUGGGUAUUUAUUCAGGAGGGGAUUCAUGUGGGAGUAAUUUCAGCUUCUGAACAACAAUUAACUUUACACCUAUCAUUUCAUAAUGUUAUUCAGAUCUUGGUCACUUUGGUAUAUGCUAAAUGUACAGCAGUUGAGAGACUGAGGUUGUGGGAAGAUAUUUAUGCAAUAUGUGAUAAUCACUCAUUACCUUGGAUGGUUGGAGGAGACUUCAAUGUUGUUAUGGGGGAAGAUGAGAAAAUUGGUGGACUUCCUGUAUAUCUACAUGAAUAUGAAGACUUUUCUUUAUGUAUCAAUUCAUGUGAAUUAAAUGAUCUACACUUCUCUGGUAGCCCUUUCACAUGGUGGAAUGGUAGAGCAGAUGAGGAUUGUAUUUUCAAAAGACUUGAUAGGGUGGUUGCAAACCAGGUUAUGCAGGAUAUGGUUGGUAAUAUGGAGGUUAUGCAUUUGGCUAGGACUGGAUCAGAUCAUGCCCCUCUCCUACUGACUACUGGAGGUCCUGUCCCAAAUUUCAGCAAACCAUUUAGGUUUUAAAAAUUUUGGACUGAAAGUGAUGAUUUUACGGAGGUGGUUAGACAAACCUGGGAGGCUGAUAUAUCUGAAAAUGUGUUUGUAUAAUGGAAGAUGAGACAGAAAAAAACCAAAUUAGCCCUGGCUAAGUGGAGUAGGGCUAAAUUUGGGGACAUCUUUAAACAAUUGCAGAUUAGAGAAAAAAUAGUUAGACUGAAAGAAGAGUUGUUUGAAGCUGAUCCUAGUGCCAAUAACAGAAUGGUACUUCAACAAGCUCAAGCAGAACAUAAGCUUUAUUUGCAUUAUGAAGAGGAAUUUUGGAGGCAAAAGGCUAGCAUUCAAUGGAGCACUGAAGGAGAUAAGAAUACCAGAUUAUUUCAUUGUCUGGUUAAAGGAAAGAGAAAGAGAUUAACAUUGAAGAGAAUUCUCAAAUCUGAUGGUACCUGGGCUGAGAGAGAUGAUGAGAUCACUAGGGAAGCCUUGAAAUUUUACACUGAUCAAUUCACUGGGACUGAGUGUAUUGAAGAUUAUAGUAUGUUACAACACAUUGAAGCACAGGUCACACUAGAAGAUAACUAUCUUAUUAAAACCAUGCCUGAAGAAGAAGAAAUCAAAUCUGUUGUCUUUAAGCUUAACGGAGACAGUGCUUGUGGACUUGAUGGAUUUACUGGUAUCUUUUAUCAAUCUUGCUGGCCAAUUGUGGGGGCUGAUAUUGUUAAUAUUGUACAAGCCUAUUUCCAAGGUCAAACUCUUCCUAAAUCAAUUACUCAUACUAAUUUGGUCUUAAUUCCAAAAAGGGAGUUUAUUCAAACCUUUUCAGACCUUAGACCAAUUAGUUUAAGUAAUUUCAUCAACAAAGUGAUUUCCAGAAUUAUACAUGAUAGAAUGGAAAGUCUUCUUCCUAGAUUAAUUUCACAAAAUCAAUCUGGUUUCAUAAAAGGAAGGAAUAUUGCUGAGAAUAUUUUGCUGGCACAGGAAAUUAUAACUGAUAUUGGAAAGAGGGGGAAACCUGAUAAUGUUGUUAUCAAACUAGACAUGGCCAAAGCAUAUAAUAGGGCGAAUUGGAAAUUUUUGGCUAGAGUUUUAACUCAUAUGGGCUUUGAUAAUACAGUAAUUGAUAUGAUAUGGAGAAUUAUGGCUAAUAACUGGUAUUCCAUUCUCAUUAAUGGACAAGCUCAAGGAUUUUUUCAUUCCACAAGAGGUGUAAAGCAGGGUGAUCCUUUAUCACCUGCUCUAUUUAUACUAACUGCUGAGGUGUUGACUAAAGCACUGAACCAACUGUUUAAUUAUAGUGAGUUUAGAUGUUUUGGUAUGCCUAAAUGGAGUGACAACUUAAAUCAUCUGGCAUAUGCAGAUGAUACCAUUAUUUUCUCAUUUGCAGAGAAGAAGUCUUUGGAGUUAAUUAUGAAGGUGUUGCAGGAUUAUGAAGCACAAUCUGGACAAAAAAUCAACAAGGAGAAGAGUUUCUUCUACAUGUCUCACAAGGCGGCAAAUACAUCAGUAAAGGUGGUGGAAGACACUACAGGUUUUCUACGAGGUAAAUUUCCUUUAAUGUAUCUUGGAUGUCCCAUUGGGCAUGCUAAGAAAAGGAAAGUUGAUUUCACAGAAUUACUUAAGAAGAUCCAAAAUAAACUUCAGGUUUGGAAAGGCAAAAUGCUUUCCUUUGGGGGUAAGGCAGUCCUUAUCAAACAUGUGUUGCAAAGUAUGCCCAUAUACUUAUUAUCUGUUAUGGAUCCUCCUAAAUGCAUCAUAUAUGACAUUCAUAAAAUCUUUGCUAAGUUUCUAUGGAAUUUCAAAGAAGAAGGAAGGGCAAAACAUUGGAUCUCCUGGAAUGAUAUUUGUGUACCUAAAGAAGAAGGAGGUCUUGGCUUUAGAUCCUUAUUUGAUUUGUCUAAAGCAUUGUUUGCUAAACUUUGGUGGAGUUUCAGAACUAAAAACACAUUGUGGUCCAAUUUCUUAUGGAAUAAAUAUUGCAAGAGGCAUGGUCCACAAACUGUAGAAUGGAAAGGGGGAUCUCAAGUUUGAAAGUUGAUGCUACAAGAAAGAGAUAAUAUUGACCAGGAAAUAUAGUGGGAGCCAAGAAGGGGUCAUGCUAGUCUGUGGCAUGAUAAUUGGACUCAACUGGAAUAUUGCAGUAUGUAUUACCACUAAAUCAUACAAUUACUGAUGAUUUUGCAGAAGUUAAUCAGGUUAUGAACACUGAUGGGUGGAAUAUGGAUAUGUUGCGGGAGAUGGUUGGAGAAGACAUAUGUAAGCAUGUGAGUACUAACAUAGGGAAUGGCAUAGUAGUUAAUGAGAGGGACAAACCUUGGUGGAUGCCCAAUAGUAAAGGAAACUUCACUGUUGGAAGUGCCUGGGAAAUGGUAAGACAAAGAAAGGACAAGCAACAUAAUAUUAUGGUUAUUUGGGAAAAAGGAAUACCUUUCAGAGUUUCCUUUCUUCUUUGGAGAAUGUGGUUCAAAAGAUUCCCUAUUGGAGAGGUAUUAGUUAGGUUCAAAAUUGCUGACUCUGUUGUAUGUGUUUGCUGUAACAAUUCAAUGGCGGAAACUUUUGACCACUUGUUUGUAGCAUGUCCAGAUGCUAAUUUCCUAUGGAGAUCUAUAUCAGGAGCUGCAGGAAUACAUGGACCUUAUAUACAGUUGAAGCAAACAUUGGACAAAUGGUGGGGUGCUGAUUGUAAUGCUAAACUGAGACCUAUAUAUAAUGCAGUACUAAUAUUUAUCAUUUGGCAAAUUUGGAAGAGAAGAAAUGUUAUUAGAAAUGGGGGACAUUUAUCCAAGGUCACUAUGCUUAGAGAAAUCAAUAGGAAUACUUAUCUAUUUGCAAUGAAUAGAUAUCCUUGGCUAGUUAAUAUCCCAAGCUCCUGGCCUUGGAUGGUAAUUUUUUUUGAAGAAUAUAUCCCAAGGCUCUCUUGGAAAGUAGUAAGAUGGAACUGGCCUGCUGUGGGGGUAUUUAAAUGCAAUACAGAUGGCUCUAGUAAAGAUCAGUUAUCACUCAGCUCCAAAGCUUUUUGUGUGAGAAACAGCCGUGGGGAUUUAAUCUAUGCACAAACUGUUUGUAUGACAUUUUGCAAUGCCUUAGAAGCUGAAGUGAAAGCUUUUAGAAGUGGUUUAUUGUAUUGUGUGCAAAACAAUUACCUUCCUCUUGUGAUGGAAACAGACUCCCUAAUAAUAAAAAAAAUCCUUGGCGGAAAAUGGGAAAUCCCAUGGGGAAUUUCAGUGGACAUAAGGUGCAUUAUGGAGGAGCUAAAGGAAAAGGAAGUAGUGGUCAAACACAUUUUCAGAGAGGGGAACAAAUUGGUGGAUUUUUUAACUAACUAUAUCUUCAAUUUUGCAGGUACAAAUAGCAUUCAGUUUACAUCCGUAGAAGAUCUACCAGGACAAGCUCAAGCAUUACUACAUGGUGAUAAACAAGGCACACCAAAUCUCAGGACAAAGAAGUGUCAAAAUGCAAAUUUCAAUAUAUAAAACACACUCUUUUACAAAGUGGAACAAAGAGAAUUUCUUGCCCAACAAAAAAGAUUUCCGGACUACAAUAACAUCGACACAACGAUUACGCAAAGAGGAAUCUUUAGCAAGGAACACAAAAAUUAGGCAAAACGUGCUUAUCGGUGUCAUAAAUCUGUAGAAUCAAAGAGGUUACCUAAUAAACCUGAAAUUGUUGCAGUGGUAUUAGCUUCUUGAAGCUCAGCCUGCACGAUUUAAGGUCAGUUAGCUCAAUCUCUUUGACAUAGUUGUGACAAUUUGUUAAGCUCUUGGAGUAUGUGUUACCUUGCGGACAAGCUGGACGACUGUUAAGAGUUGAAGAGGUCUUUAUCAGGCCGGAUCCAUGGCGUUUGUGAGAAUUUUGAACGCCCAGGUGGAUGCCGCCUAAGCUCUUGAUCAUUUCGUCUCAAUGUCUGCUACUGGAAUGCGGCCGGAGUUGCUGAUCGUAAUGGUGUCUGGAGCUGCGUCGAGCAGCUACCAAGGAAGAAGACGCAGAGGGUUUCUCCUUCUCUGAAUCUUUCUCUGUAUUUUGCUUUUGUUUCCUUUUUUUGUUCCCUG
rnacentral:lncRNA from 1 species